UCAGGAUGAACGCUAGCUACAGGCCUAACACAUGCAAGUCGAGGGGCAGCAUGUCGGUAGCUUGCUACCGAUGAUGGCGACCGGCGAAUGGGUGAGUCACGCGUGUCCAACCUGCCCCCCGCCCGGGGAUAGCCCUUGGAAAUGAGGAUUAAGACCCGAUACGUGCCGCCUCCGCAUGGCGGCGGCAUGAAACCGGCAGGGGAUGGGGACGCGUCGGAUUAGCUUGACGGCGGGGCGACGGCCCACCGUGGCGACGAUCCGCAGGGGUUCUGAGAGGAAGGUCCCCCACACUGGCACUGAGACACGGGCCAGACUCCUACGGGAGGCAGCAGUGAGGAAUAUUGGUCAAUGGCCGAGAGGCUGAACCAGCCAAGUAGCGUGCCAGGAUGACGGCCCUACGGGUUGUAAACUGCUUUUGCGGGAGGAUAAAGUGCGCUACGUGUAGCGCUUUGCAGGUAUCCCGUGAAUAAGGACCGGCUAAUUCCGUGCCAGCAGCGGC
rnacentral:rRNA from 1 species